AAAAGCCCAAAUCAAAUGCCUUUAACUUUGUUUUACUUAUUAACCACCCACCUUCUACCUGCCUCUCCAAAUGUUCAUAUUUUUAACGGCUGAUCCAAAUUUGAAAUACAGAGCUUUUUCAUAUUCUUCCAUCAUUCCGGUGAAAUGUGGUCUCCAUCUUCGUUCACUCACUGCCAUAAAAAAGGACGAUGACGACAUAGGACACAGAAGUUCCUUCUCUCUCUUUUGAAUCCCAGGGAUUGUCUCAGGGAAGAGGCCAGUCCCUGAAAAAGCCAUCUCGAUUGGUAUCAUUCAAAUGCGAAUAUAGGCCUGAUUGAAGCAUAUGUUUCAAAGUGUAUUAUCGUUUGUGCUGGUCAUGUUUAUGUUAUUAUCUGAUGCGUUAAUACCUGUUGUUUCGUCUGCACUAUUUUUGCCUUAAGCCGACGGUCUAUUGGAAACAUCCGAAUAUAGCGGGUUUGUUGUUGUUGUUAUUGAAAUAUUCAUGUGA